rnacentral:rRNA from 1 species
AUUGAACGCUGGCGGCAGGCCUAACACAUGCAAGUCGAACGAGUGGAGGAGGGGAGAGUAAUGGCGGGGAAACUCCGUGAUGGAGGGGGAGGAAUACUGGAAACGGUCGCUAAUACCGCAAACCAUACGAUGUGCCCAGAUGGGAUUAGCUUGUUGGUGGGGUAACGGCUCACCAAGGCGACGAUCCCUAGCUGGGCUGAGAGGAUGACCAGCAACACUGGAACUGAGACACGGUCCAGACUCCUACGUGAGGCAGCAGUGGGGAAUAUUGCACAAUGGGCGCAAGCCUGAUUCAGCCAUGCCGCGUGUAUGAAGAAGGCCUUCGGGUUGUAAAGUACUUUCAGCGGGGAGGCGUUACCCGCAGAAGAAGCACCGGCUAACUCCGUGCCAGCAGCCGCGGUAAUUC